rnacentral:rRNA from 1 species
UACGGAGGAUGCAAGCGUUAUCCGGAAUGAUUGGGCGUAAAGCGUCCGCAGGUGGCAGUUCAAGUCUGCUGUCAAAGACCGGGGCUUAACUUCGGAAAGGCAGUGGAAACUGAACAGCUAGAGUAUGGUAGGGGCAGAGGGAAUUCCUGGUGUAGCGGUGAAAUGCGUAGAUAUCAGGAAGAACAUCGGUGGCGAAGGCGCUCUGCUGGACCAUAACUGACACUCAGGGACGAAAGCUAGGGAGCGAAUGGG